rnacentral:rRNA from 1 species
GACGAACGCUGGCGGCGUGCUUAACACAUGCAAGUCGAACGGUGAAGGGACCGGUUUUUGCUGGUUCUGGAUGAGUGGCGAACGGGUGAGUAACACGUGAGUAACCUGCCCCCUUCUUCUGGAUAACCGCAUGAAAGUGUGGCUAAUACGGGAUAUUCUGCGCCUGCUGCAUGGUGGGUGUGGGAAAGAUAUUGUUUCGGUGGGGGAUGGGCUCGCGGCCUAUCAGCUUGUUGGUGGGGUGAUGGCCUACCAAGGCGGUGACGGGUAGCCGGCCUGAGAGGGUGGACGGUCACACUGGGACGGAGACACGGCCCAGACUCCUACGGGAGGCAGCAGGGGGGAAUAUUGCACAAUGGGCGCAAGCCUGAUGCAGCGACGCCGCGUGAGGGAUGGAGGCCUUCGGGUUGUAAACCUCUUUCGCCAGUGAAGCAGGCCUGUCCCUUUUGUGGGUGGGUUGACGGUAGCUGGAUAAGAAGCGCCGGCUAACUACGUG